rnacentral:rRNA from 1 species
GAUGAACGCUGGCGGCGUGCCUAAUACAUGCAAGUCGAGCGAACGGACGAGAAACUUGCUUCUCUGAUGUUAGCGGCGGACGGGUGAGUAACACGUGGAUAACCUACCUAUAAGACUGGGAUAACUUCGGGAAACCGGAGCUAAUACCGGAUGAUAUUUUGAACCGCAUGGUUCAAAAGUGAAAGGCGGUCUUGCUGUCACUUAUAGAUGGAUCCGCGCUGCAUUAGCUAGUUGGUAAGGUAACGGCUUACCAAGGCAACGAUGCAUAGCCGACCUGAGAGGGUGAUCGGCCACACUGGAACUGAGACACGGUCCAGACUCCUACGGGAGGCAGCAGUAGGGAAUCUUCCGCAAUGGGCGAAAGCCUGACGGAGCAACGCCGCGUGAGUGAUGAAGGUCUUCGGAUCGUAAAACUCUGUUAUUAGGGAAGAACAUAUGUGUAAGUAACUGUGCACAUCUUGACGGUACCUAAUCAGAAAGCCACGGCUAACUACGUG